UACGUAGGGCGCAAGCGUUGUCCGGAAUUAUUGGGCGUAAAGAGCUCGUAGGCGGCUUAGUCGCGUCGUCUGUGAAAUCCCCGCGGCUCAACCGCGGGUCUGCAGUCGAUACGGGCAGGCUAGAGUUCGGUAGGGGAGACUGGAAUUCCUGGUGUAGCGGUGAAAUGCGCAGAUAUCAGGAGGAACACCGGUGGCGAAGGCGGGUCUCUGGGCCGAUACUGACGCUGAGGAGCGAAAGCGUGGGGAGCGAACAGG
rnacentral:rRNA from 1 species